UUCUGUUUGGAUCAAGAUGUUUUGGACAGAACGACGCGCAUCAGCCACCGACCAAGGGAAGUCCGAAAGGUGGCAGGUAAAGGCACUAAUCAGAACUAAGCGAAAAGCUCGAUAACCCCGCCCCUUGUAGCUGCUAGAGGGGAUAAGCGGAAAAGGAAUAAACUGAUUAGUGUUGUGUGACUCGGACGGGGGGCGAAAGCCUUUACACACAGCGCAGGG
rnacentral:sRNA from 1 species